CCUACGGGUGGCUGCAGUAGGGAAUAUUGCUCAAUGGGGGAAACCCUGAAGCAGCAACGCCGCGUGGAGGAUGAAGGUUUUAGGAUUGUAAACCCCUUUUGUGAGAGAAGAUAAUGACGGUAUCUCACGACUAAGCACCGGAUAACUCCGUGCCAGGAGCCAGGGUACUACGGAGGGUGCAAGCGUUACUCGGAAUUACUGGGCGUAAAGCGCUCGUAGGCGGUAUGUCAAGUCAACGGUGAAAUCCCCGCGCUCAACGUGGGAACUGCCUUUGAAACUGGCAAACUGGAGUGGGGGAGAGGAUAGUGGAAUUCCAGGUGUAGGAGGGAAAUCCGUAGAUAUCUGGAGGAACAUCAGUGGCGAAGGCGACUAUCUGGCACAUAACUGACGCUGAGGAGCGAAAGCGUGGGUAGCAAACAGGAUUAGAUACCCUUGUAGUC
rnacentral:rRNA from 1 species